CGGGGUGAGUAAUGUCUGGGAAACUGCCUGAUGGAGGGGGAUAACUACUGGAAACAGUAGCUAAUACCGCAUAACGUCGCAAGACCGAAGAGGGGGACCUUCGGGCCUCUUGCCAUCGGAUGUGCCCAGAUGGGAUUAGCUAGUAGGUGGGGUAACGGCUCACCUAGGCGACGAUCCCUAGCUGGUCUGAGAGGAUGACCAGCCACACUGGAACUGAGACACGGUCCAG
rnacentral:rRNA from 1 species